CUAGAUCUGGCUCUUUGACUUAAAAAGAGAAACUGAAAUUUUUAUCAGAUUUAUUUGUGACAUACUGAAUUCCAUCAGAUUUUCUUGGUGUCCUUAUAUUUUUCAAUUUUCAUGAAAGUGCUUUAUUUAAAAUUUAGUUUUAAGAGGUGGUUUCUUGAUGUUGGUUCAGCAUUGCAGCCUGUUCUGUUUGUAGUCCGUCUUCAGUACAUGGCCCAAUACAGCAUGCUGUCAUACUGGGGUGGGAGAGAAUACUUGGAGAUUUGAGAGGAAGCAAAGGCCUGUCUGUAGUUUUUCAUGUUUGUUUUGACUUUUUUGUUCAGUUCUAAUUCAUUGCUUUUUAAUAAGUGUGAGCCAUUCAACUUCCAGUGCUGGUUUUGUUUUUUCUGGUUUUGCAGUUGAGGAAACACAACUGUGUUUGUGAUUCAAACGCAGUUUGAAACAGAAUUGGCUUAUUUCUUUGCUAGUAUAUUCUAGCAAAAUUACGUAGACAUAGCAUGAUGAAAACAACUAAUUUUGCCUCUGAGUAUCCAUUUUAUUCACAGUGAGAAGGGGAAUCCCGGUGUGCAAAUGAAGGGCACUCUGUGUUUGCAUAAAGUGUUUUCUCUUUUGGUCUUUCAGUUGGGUGUUUCCCUGCUAUUUUGUUUAUUGCAGGCAUUUAUAUGUGGUGAGUUUAACAGUUUCCUUCAAUAGUUUCUGAGUUUUUUCAAGGUCUUUCGGGUGCUUACUCUGGUGUUUUGCUUUAAAAGAAUCUCCGGUCCCUCUGUAGAUAACUAAUUUUGCAGCUUUGCUCAAACUGCAAGGUCACAAAUCCUGUACCUUCAAGUGAACUGUAGUUUUGGUUUUAGCAUGGCUCAUUUUAACUUUGUUUGCCUUUAAACCUGGUUUCAUGCUUUACUUUCACAGUAAAGGCACGCUGGCUGUUCCAGUGCAAGUACACGGUGUUCCUUUAUAUUUGCUGUUGGUGUGGAUGUAGGCUGCUGCUAACACAGUAAGAAGAAAGGGGUUUAUCGAUAUUUGUAUAAGGUGUGUGGUUUAUUUUUCCCCACUGGAUGUGUUGUUAAAUAAUAACCGCUAUAGCUCAGUGUUAUUUCUAGGUAAGUUUAUAAAAGUACACACAUCACUUGAAGGACUAUGGGUUUUUUCCCACCCUAAACUGUUGCAUGGAGACUACUGUUCAGUAUAUAAUGUGUUAGACUGCAGCAGUGAAAUAUGUGUUCUCUAGGUGGAAACAGAGAGAUGUAUGACACUUUGGUGACAUGUAUAUAAUUAGUUCUGGGGAAGCAAGAGUGAAUUACCGUUUGUGGUCAGCUAUGUAUUAAAAUAGGAUUAUGUUGUUUCCUUAAACAGAUGUAGAAAGCUUUAACCAAAUAGGUAGUGUGUUUUCCCUUGGCUUGGGCAGAGCGACCUGCACUCUGAGGGCAAAAGGACGUGAGUCAGAAUCAUUUCUGAUGCACAGGAUGAUAAGGGAGGUUCAGAUCUGAAAUGCCUGUGUGCUGCAGUGAGGUGAAGCAGUCGAGAGUACUCCCUUGCAUGCUGCUGUUUCCACGGUGUGGCGUUCCCAUCAGAGAACAAUCCUGGUCCUCACAUGAUGCAAAUAUCCAUUGGUUAGAAGGGAAACUGACAGCUGUUUCUGUCUACAGACAAAACACGACCUGAGCUUCAGAGCUGUUAUGUUACCUCACUCUCUGUGCACACAUGGGAAUUUCAUAUAAUUAAGUUUCUAGACUAUGGCCUGUAUUUUUAUAACUCUUUUUUUACCUUAUCUAGCCUGCUGUGGGUGCUGCUACAAUAUAAAAAAGCAAGCAGUGAAAGGAAUCUUCAAUAGGGUGUGUUUGAGAAGUUUUUAUAAUAGUUUAUUUUAAAUCCUUGCUUCUGUGUGGGUAAAAUGUAAUUAAAGAGCUGCAUUGCAACUGAUGCUAAUUCUGAAAAUACAUUAAGUAUAUAUCAUCAAAGUUUUUAUUUCUGAAAGCUCUAAUUUUGUAAAAAUACUGGAAAGCGUUGGAAAUAGAAGCCUGGUUGCACUGUAAAUAGUGCAAAAGUAUUUUAGUAACUGUAGUACUAAUGAGCAGAAUGUCUUUUUUUCUUUUUUUUCCCAACCCCCCCUUUAAUUUUUUUAAAAUGGCAUUAGUAUUCCAAACAGCAAAAUCCCUGGCUGGAGAAUUGUAGAAAUGAUGAUUGCUCAUUAGCAAAUAGAAUACAGAUGUUCCGUUCAUUUUGCCUGAGUGCUUCACAUAAACACCUUGGGGAGUGACUGGCACAGAGUACAAAACUUGAUAGCAUAACAGUGUGCUAAACACUUCGGGGCUGGCAACAGAAGCAGAGGCAUACCAUGUAAUUUUGUAAAAUUUCAUGUAAUUUUUAAUCAUUUGUAGUGUUUGUGUAAUGUGACAAUCUUCACAUGGGAAGGGGGUGGGUGGCGGAUGCGUGUGUCUCUACAGGGCUGUAAUCAACACCAGAAACUAGAGUUGGGUCAACUUUGUGGAGGUCUGUUCAUGUCUUUUUGGUUGACUUUCUGCCUUCAGCUUAAAGGAACAAACUUCCACCACCAUGCAGGUCCGUGAGUGUUGUAUUGGUUGUAGGCUUUUGUAUUUGCCUGACCAGUUGCCCAGAAUUUCUUGGGCCUCUGAGGCAGCAUCUCUUUGGUUCUUUUCUCAUGUAUCUUCAGGUGGUGUUACCAGGUAGGAAAUCUGUUGUUCCUCGUCUCCCUCUCUUCCAUUCCUCCCUCCUCCCCCCCCCCCAACAAUGAUCCAAAUUACUUUUAAUUUUUAAUUAUAUAGGUGCCAUGACUGUUUUCAAGGACAUACUAAAUAAGGACUGGAGUAGUAAGGCACCAUUAGGGACUUUGUGGUAGUUCUGUGUUAGUUGCUAUGGGAUUUUACGUCCCAGUAGGAUGUUGCUAAAUUCGGUUCUCUGCCAAUGCCUGCGGUGCUUAUGGAGCAGCUGGAAGGGGAGAUCCCCCUACUCCGCCGGAGGAGCCAAGUGAGCCAAGCCUCUCUGUGUCCCUUGCUCUUGGACUUUGCUCCUUGCAGUUUUCUAGAAGAGACAGUUCCAUUUCAGUGAAGAUGCAGGAAUUGAUUGGUUUAUAAAACACAUGUAAGAAAUGCUGAAUCUCAUUCAUGCAAUUGGGUAGACUUUUAAAGAAAGGGGAUUUGUAGCUGUGAUAUUACUCUGGCCUCUUGCCGUGAUGUGUGUUGUACUUGUUUAGCUGCCAGGGACGGGCUGGGAAGAAGCUGAAUGGACUUCAAAAGUUUCAAAAUUCAUUUAAUUUAUUAAAGAAUAUAUUGAUUCCA